CCUGUCCUUCUCUUUAUUGAGGACACUGUCGCGAAUCUCUGGACUGGAAAUAACUUUGUUGAUAUACCUGUGAAUUAUGAGAUCAAGAAAAAGAGGUGCAGGGCCCAGUGUUGCAAAGCUACACUUCAGCUUCCCGCCCCGCAGCCAAAGAAACUGACUAGAGAGUGCACUGUUAGGAGAGAGAUUCGAUCUUCGCAUAAUAUUCUAUGGGGAAGUGCUUCCGAAUAGCAUGAUCCUGAGUCUGGAUUCCUCUGUCAGAUAGAAAGUUCAAGUCGGUCAAUUGAUCGAUCUCUUGCUCAUUGUACAGUUGGUGUAAACUGGAAAUCGAGAAGCUCUGUGCAGCCCUUUCAUCCAAUGCCAGAAACUAGAGCUGUAUGGAGACUGCAGCAUUCUGCAAAAGCUAUUUGCUCAGAGCUGCCACAGCAGUCGUCCCAUCAGUGUUAAAUAGACCACCAUAACUACAUCAUUAUCUCUAUCUUCUCCAUCACUUCUGUCUUUUUGCAUAUACAAUGCUAAAGGAAAUGUAGGAAUGUGUAUAUCUCUUUGUCAAUGGAUUAUGCCAUAUUUAUUUUUCACAUUCUUGUUCUUCAGACCUUCCGUCUCCUGUUCGUUUUCAAAAGAAGUGUAGAGAUCUGGGUUUAGAAUUCUUCCGGAUUUUUUCCUUGUUUGUUAAUUUCAUUUUAGAUUGUUGUGGGUUUAGCUUGAUAGUGAUACAGAUUUGGGGUUUAGGCCUAAUUAGAAGGAAGAAACAUUUGAGUAUAAUGUUACGGUGCUUAAUAAAGUUUGAUUAUUUUUUCGAUUUCCUUUGUUAUUGGUUGUUGUGGGUCAAUUAAUUUCAAGCUAAGGGUAUAUUGGAUAGCAUGCAUCCAGCCCUUUCUGUCGUCAUCUUUCAUGGCCUUUUCUAUUGCUGUACUUUUCUCCGCUAAAUAAUUUCUUUUCUUUGCUCGAUUGAAUUUUCAUUGAUUUCUCAUGACUUUCCUGUUUCUGCAGGCAUCCUCUUGCCCAAAAGGUAAGCUUUUAUUCUAUAUAUAUGUAUUUGCGUCUCUUUGUAUGUGUUUCAGUUUUGGAUUUUUUUCCUCUUUUGUUUUCCAUGUGUUAAAUGCUUGACCUGUUGUAUUUCUGCAUUUAUUUUUUGCUUGGAGCUGUCUUGGAGUACCCAUGUGGUUGUUGAGAUUGUGGAGAGUGAAAAUCACUUGUAGGGAAUUUUCUCCAAAUUUGAGAGCCAGCUGGGGACUUGAUGGCCAUGAAAAAAGUCUUACUGUAUAUGUAUUAAAGCUGAAGCAAUUAACUCUUGAUUAUAAACAAAAACAAUUUGGAUAAAUCUUGAGGUGUCGUAGUUAUGGAAAAUUACUUUGGAGUUGUCAAGGACGAUGAUCAGCAUCAUCAGAUGGAACUGCCAGCUGGAUUUCGAUAUCAAUUUCUUUGCUAUUGCUGUUGGUGCUGUAGAUUUGAACAAAAUUUAACCUUGGGACCUCCAAUGUUAAGCCUUUUCAUUUAUUUGUUGGAAAUUGUUACUAAAACUCACUGGAGGCCAAAUGAAUAUCGUAAGGUUUUGAAGGUAAAGUUCUUUUGAGAUUCAG